UUUAGACACUUGGCAAACAAAUACUUUUUCUAAGUAAAGCCUAAGAACUAAUUUCCUAAAGUUUCCUGGAAUUCUGUCUAUGUUUAUAGCUACUGUAAUGCCCACUGUCUUAUUCAUCAUCUUGGGGCUUUUUCUUUUCCGCAUUAGUGCUAAAUACGGACUGUUAAAGAGGUCUUGAUUUGGUAAUGGUUAAUUGCACAGUUCCUGCUGAAGCAGUUCUCUUAAGUUGCUACGGAUCAGAAAGCAUGAAUGAACCUGCUGCCUGUUUUCCCUGAACGAGAAGGGUGGUGUCAAGGGGAGGCCAGAAUUUGUCUCUGGGGACUUGGAUGCUGUUUCUGCUUGAGGACCUCUCUGCCAGGGGACAAGUAUUUUACUCAGCCUUGUACCUCAGUCACUGCCUGUGAGAUGAAGGUAUUGCUUUUCAGUUUCACAUAUGUUCUGUGGAUAAAAGGCAUUUGUACGGGUUAAAGUUUCGUAAUAAAUAUUAGCAGGAUUUCA
rnacentral:lncRNA from 1 species